GGGGGUGACAGGACUCGACUUAAGCGUUCGAGGUAAAGGUGGCAUGUAGAGGUUGUCGGGAGGCCUCUUUAAACACCUGGCAAAACAUAAACGCAAACUACAAUCCAGUAGCAGAGGCAGAAGAAAUUCUCGCUUCUGAGGCGUUAGCAGUUGCCUAAAUAAGGCAACGCAUCCUCCGGCCGGUUUCCUGGGAGGUUGGAAGGAUGACGACAUGCAGGAUAGCCUGAUAUCCGUUAGCUUUUGGGAAUCAGGUGAAGAUUUUAAAAGCUACUCCGUUUUAAGAUCUUGCCUAUUAGAGCUUGACGGGGGAGAUCAAAGAAUAGGAUAAACAUGUAGAGGCUUUUAUCUGAUACUUAAGGACCCGGCUUCAAUGCCGGCACCUCCACCA
rnacentral:tmRNA from 1 species